rnacentral:rRNA from 1 species
UCGGGAAUUUUGGGCAAUGGGCGAAAGCCUGACCCAGCAACGCCGCGUGAAGGAUGAAGUAUUUCGGUAUGUAAACUUCGAAAGAAUAGGAAGAAUAAAUGACGGUACUAUUUAUAAGGUCCGGCUAACUACGUGCCAGCAGCCGCGGUAAUACGUAGGGACCAAGCGUUGUUCGGAUUUACUGGGCGUAAAGGGCGCGUAGGCGGCAUGACAAGUCACUUGUGAAAUCUCUGGGCUUAACCUGGGAAUUGCGCUUGAAACUAGCGGGCUUGAGUGUGGCAGAGGGGGGUGGAAUUCCACGUGUAGCAGUGAAAUGCGUAGAGAUGUGGAGGAACACCGAUGGCGAAGGCAGCCCCCUGGGUCAACACUGACGCUCAUGCACGAAAGCGUGGGGAGCAAACAGGAUUAGAUACCCCUGUAGUCCCUGAGCGGGCUGGCAAGGCGCAU